UUGCACAGGUGCUGCAUGGCUGUCGUCAGCUCGUGUCGUGAGAUGUUCGGUUAAGUCCGCUAACGAACGCAACCCUCCGCUGUGUGUUAUAUGUGUCACACGGGACUGCCGGUCUUAAGCCGGAGGAAGGUGGGGAGUGAUGUCAAGUCAGCAUGGCCUUUAUAUCCUGGGCUACACACACGCUACAAUGGCCAACACAAUAGGUUGCUAAGCCGCGAGGUGGCGCCAAUCCAUAAAGUUGGUCUCAGUUCAGAUUGUAGGCUGCAACCCGCCUGCAUGAAGAUGGAGUUGCUAGUAACCGCAGGUCAGCUAUACUGCGGUGAAUACGUUCCCGGGGCUU
rnacentral:rRNA from 1 species